rnacentral:rRNA from 1 species
UUAGAGUUUGAUCCUGGCUCAGGACGAACGCUGGCGGCGUGCUUAACACAUGCAAGUCGAACGGUAAGGCUCCAGCUUGCUGGGGUACACGAGUGGCGAACGGGUGAGUAACACGUGGGUGACCUGCCCUGCACUUCGGGAUAAGCCUGGGAAACUGGGUCUAAUACCGGAUAGGACCGCACCGUGAGGGUGUGGUGGAAAGUUUUUUCGGUGUGGGAUGGGCCCGCGGCCUAUCAGCUUGUUGGUGGGGUAAUGGCCUACCAAGGCGGCGACGGGUAGCCGGCCUGAGAGGGUGGACGGCCACAUUGGGACUGAGACACGGCCCAGACUCCUACGGGAGGCAGCAGUGGGGAAUAUUGCACAAUGGGCGGAAGCCUGAUGCAGCGACGCCGCGUGGGGGAUGACGGCCUUCGGGUUGUAAACUCCUUUCACCAUCGACGAAGGGUUUCUGACGGUAGAUGGAGAAGAAGCACCGGCUAACUACGUGCCAGCAGCCGCGGUAAUACGUAGGGUGCGAGCGUUGUCCGGAAUUACUGGGCGUAAAGAGCUCGUAGGUGGUUUGUCGCGUCGUCUGUGAAAUUCCGGGGCUUAACUCCGGGCGUGCAGGCGAUACGGGCAUAACUUGAGUACUGUAGGGGAGACUGGAAUUCCUGGUGUAGCGGUGAAAUGCGCAGAUAUCAGGAGGAACACCGGUGGCGAAGGCGGGUCUCUGGGCAGUAACUGACGCUGAGGAGCGAAAGCAUGGGGAGCGAACAGGAUUAGAUACCCUGGUAGUCCAUGCCGUAAACGGUGGGCGCUAGGUGUGGGUUUCCUUCCACGGGAUCCGUGCCGUAGCUAACGCAUUAAGCGCCCCGCCUGGGGAGUACGGCCGCAAGGCUAAACUCAAAGGAAUUGACGGGGGCCCGCACAAGCGGCGGAGCAUGUGGAUUUGUGGAUUAAUUCGAUGCAACGCGAAGAACCUUACCUGGGCUUGACAUAUA